rnacentral:lncRNA from 1 species
CCGAGCUGCAGCCAAGGUCUGAGUAGUCAACAAACCCAAAACGCAACAUGAGGUUGAAGACAAAGGAACCUUUUAUCUAUCUAUGCUACAGAUGAGUAGCUGCGUCUAAGAGGGUGAAUUCAAGCAGGACCACCCGGUCACCACUCUCCAUCGAAUCGUGUGUCUACACUGCUUUCAUUCCUACACUGUGAGCCCUGAGCUACAGGGCUGGUUGUCCUCAGAAGACCCCUUUCAGAACAAGGGUGAAGAAACAGACCACUAAGACAAAGGACACUGACAUCGUGAGGACAACCAGAGAGUUACACCAGAGAAGUGUGUCAUCCGAGAAGCCGAAAUGGUCCACGCAGAGACCGCCAUCGGAGACAUUCAACACGUGGUACACCUUCCCUGUGGCCGACAUGGUUGCUGUAUGGACAGUGGAGAGGACAUGGAUGUCUUGUUUGUCUUGCCACUUUACUGCCAGCUGUUGACAUUUCUUAUUUUGUAUAACGGGUCAUUUAGGAUGGCAGUAGCAUUGUUGAUGAAAUGAAGUCAUCGCAGCAGAACUAGGAAACGGUCUUGGGAAAAGUGGGUGGCAAAGAAGGGAGUUGCAAACACAGGAUCUGUGCUCCAGUAUUCUCUUUGGGAGUUCUUCUUUACUAUCCCCAUGAGGACUGUCACCAGGAAGCUCUUCUGUCAGAAACAACUGGAAGCACUCUGCCUCAGAUGGAAAUGGUAAGGGGCGUUGCACUCCAGACUGGGACUCAUCAAAGCCAACAGCAAAGUGAAAUGGCUGUCAGCCUUCCAGCUACCACAGAACUCCUGUACUUCAUCCACUGUCGGUCUGCC